UUAAGCGACUAAGCGUACACGGUGGAUGCCCUGGCAGUCAGAGGCGAUGAAGGACGUGCUAAUCUGCGAUAAGCGUCGGUGAGGUGAUAUGAACCGUUAUAACCGGCGAUUUCCGAAUGGGGAAACCCAGUGUGAUUCGUCACACUAUCAUUAACUGAAUCCAUAGGUUAAUGAGGCGAACCGGGGGAACUGAAACAUCUAAGUACCCCGAGGAAAAGAAAUCAACCGAGAUUCCCCCAGUAGCGGCGAGCGAACGGGGAGGAGCCCAGAGCCUGAAUCAGUGUGUGUGUUAGUGGAAGCGUCUGGAAAGGCGCGCGAUACAGGGUGACAGCCCCGUACACAAAAAUGCACAUAUUGUGAGCUCGAUGAGUAGGGCGGGACACGUGGUAUCCUGUCUGAAUAUGGGGGGACCAUCCUCCAAGGCUAAAUACUCCUGACUGACCGAUAGUGAACCAGUACCGUGAGGGAAAGGCGAAAAGAACCCCGGCGAGGGGAGUGAAAAAGAACCUGAAACCGUGUACGUACAAGCAGUGGGAGCCUCUUAAUGGGGUGACUGCGUACCUUUUGUAUAAUGGGUCAGCGACUUAUAUUCUGUAGCAAGGUUAACCGAAUAGGGGAGCCGAAGGGAAACCGAGUCUUAACUGGGCGUUAAGUUGCAGGGUAUAGACCCGAAACCCGGUGAUCUAGCCAUGGGCAGGUUGAAGGUUGGGUAACACUAACUGGAGGACCGAACCGACUAAUGUUGAAAAAUUAGCGGAUGACUUGUGGCUGGGGGUGAAAGGCCAAUCAAACCGGGAGAUAGCUGGUUCUCCCCGAAAGCUAUUUAGGUAGCGCCUCGUGAAUUCAUCUCCGGGGGUAGAGCACUGUUUCGGCAAGGGGGUCAUCCCGACUUACCAACCCGAUGCAAACUGCGAAUACCGGAGAAUGUUAUCACGGGAGACACACGGCGGGUGCUAACGUCCGUCGUGAAGAGGGAAACAACCCAGACCGCCAGCUAAGGUCCCAAAGUCAUGGUUAAGUGGGAAACGAUGUGGGAAGGCCCAGACAGCCAGGAUGUUGGCUUAGAAGCAGCCAUCAUUUAAAGAAAGCGUAAUAGCUCACUGGUCGAGUCGGCCUGCGCGGAAGAUGUAACGGGGCUAAACCAUGCACCGAAGCUGCGGCAGCGACACUAUGUGUUGUUGGGUAGGGGAGCGUUCUGUAAGCCUGUGAAGGUGUACUGUGAGGUAUGCUGGAGGUAUCAGAAGUGCGAAUGCUGACAUAAGUAACGAUAAAGCGGGUGAAAAGCCCGCUCGCCGGAAGACCAAGGGUUCCUGUCCAACGUUAAUCGGGGCAGGGUGAGUCGACCCCUAAGGCGAGGCCGAAAGGCGUAGUCGAUGGGAAACAGGUUAAUAUUCCUGUACUUGGUGUUACUGCGAAGGGGGGACGGAGAAGGCUAUGUUGGCCGGGCGACGGUUGUCCCGGUUUAAGCGUGUAGGCUGGUUUUCCAGGCAAAUCCGGAAAAUCAAGGCUGAGGCGUGAUGACGAGGCACUACGGUGCUGAAGCGACAAAUGCCCUGCUUCCAGGAAAAGCCUCUAAGCAUCAGGUAACAUCAAAUCGUACCCCAAACCGACACAGGUGGUCAGGUAGAGAAUACCAAGGCGCUUGAGAGAACUCGGGUGAAGGAACUAGGCAAAAUGGUGCCGUAACUUCGGGAGAAGGCACGCUGAUAUGUAGGUGAAGCGACUUGCUCGUGGAGCUGAAAUCAGUCGAAGAUACCAGCUGGCUGCAACUGUUUAUUAAAAACACAGCACUGUGCAAACACGAAAGUGGACGUAUACGGUGUGACGCCUGCCCGGUGCCGGAAGGUUAAUUGAUGGGGUUAGCGGUAACGCGAAGCUCUUGAUCGAAGCCCCGGUAAACGGCGGCCGUAACUAUAACGGUCCUAAGGUAGCGAAAUUCCUUGUCGGGUAAGUUCCGACCUGCACGAAUGGCGUAAUGAUGGCCAGGCUGUCUCCACCCGAGACUCAGUGAAAUUGAACUCGCUGUGAAGAUGCAGUGUACCCGCGGCAAGACGGAAAGACCCCGUGAACCUUUACUAUAGCUUGACACUGAACAUUGAGCCUUGAUGUGUAGGAUAGGUGGGAGGCUUUGAAGUGUGGACGCCAGUCUGCAUGGAGCCGACCUUGAAAUACCACCCUUUAAUGUUUGAUGUUCUAACGUGGGCCCCUUACCGGGGUUGCGGACAGUGUCUGGUGGGUAGUUUGACUGGGGCGGUCUCCUCCUAAAGAGUAACGGAGGAGCACGAAGGUUGGCUAAUCCUGGUCGGACAUCAGGAGGUUAGUGCAAUGGCAUAAGCCAGCUUGACUGCGAGCGUGACGGCGCGAGCAGGUGCGAAAGCAGGUCAUAGUGAUCCGGUGGUUCUGAAUGGAAGGGCCAUCGCUCAACGGAUAAAAGGUACUCCGGGGAUAACAGGCUGAUACCGCCCAAGAGUUCAUAUCGACGGCGGUGUUUGGCACCUCGAUGUCGGCUCAUCACAUCCUGGGGCUGAAGUAGGUCCCAAGGGUAUGGCUGUUCGCCAUUUAAAGUGGUACGCGAGCUGGGUUUAGAACGUCGUGAGACAGUUCGGUCCCUAUCUGCCGUGGGCGCUGGAGAACUGAGGGGGGCUGCUCCUAGUACGAGAGGACCGGAGUGGACGCAUCACUGGUGUUCGGGUUGUCAUGCCAAUGGCACUGCCCGGUAGCUAAAUGCGGAAGAGAUAAGUGCUGAAAGCAUCUAAGCACGAAACUUGCCCCGAGAUGAGUUCUCCCUGACUCCUUGAGAGUCCUGAAGGAACGUUGAAGACGACGACGUUGAUAGGCCGGGUGUGUAAGCGCAGCGAUGCGUUGAGCUAACCGGUACUAAUGAACCGUGAGGCUUAACCU
rnacentral:rRNA from 1 species